rnacentral:rRNA from 1 species
UACAGAGGUGGCAAGCGUUGUCCGGAUUUACUGGGCGUAAAGGGCGUGCAGGCGGUUUGUUAAGUGCAGGGUGAAAGCUCCCGGCUCAACUGGGAGAGGUCCUUGCAUACUGGCGAACUCGAGGGAGGCAGAGGAAAGUGGAAUUCCCGGUGUAGUGGUGAUAUGCGUAGAUAUCGGGAGGAACACCUGUGGCGAAGGCGGCUUUCUGGGCCUUACCUGACGCUGAGACGCGAAAGCGUGGGGAGCGAACCGG